UUAGGAUGGGCUAGUCUGAAUCAUUUCAGCGGGCUCUGGGGCAUAGAGCUGUCUCUAGCUGUCUGGUACCCGGCCCCAGGAUGACAAGGGAAGGGAAACAA